rnacentral:rRNA from 1 species
UACGGAGGGUGCGAGCGUUGUCCGGAAUCAUUGGGCGUAAAGGGCGCGUAGGUGGCCCGGUCAGCGUGCGGUGAAAGCUCGGGGCUCAACCCCGAGUCGGCCGUGCGAACUGCUGGGCUCGAGCACUGUAGAGGCAGGCGGAAUUCCGCGUGUAGCAGUGAAAUGCGUAGAUAUGCGGAGGAACACCGAUGGCGAAGGCAAUCCCCUGGGCCUGCACUGACGCUCAUGCACGAAAGCGUGGGGAGC